rnacentral:rRNA from 1 species
ACGGGAGGCAGCAGUGAGGAAUAUUGGUCAAUGGACGGAAGUCUGAACUAGCCAAGUCGCGUGAAGGAAGACGGUUCUAUGGAUUGUAAACUUCUUUUGCUCGAGGGUAAAGUGAGCCACGUGUGGCUUAUUGCAAGUAUCGAGUGAAUAAGCAUCGGCUAACUCCGUGCCAGCAGCCGCGGUAAUACGGAGGAUGCGAGCGUUAUCCGGAUUUAUUGGGUUUAAAGGGUGCGUAGGCGGGAUGUUAAGUCAGCGGUGAAAGUUUGCGGCUCAACCGUAAAAUUGCCGUUGAAACUGGCGUUCUUGAGUGUAAACGAGGUAGGCGGAAUGUAACGUGUAGCGGUGAAAUGCUUAGAUAUGUUACAGAACCCCGAUUGCGAAGGCAGCUUACCAGCAUACAACUGACGCUGAGGCACGAAAGCGUGGGUAUCAAACAGGAUUAGAU